rnacentral:rRNA from 1 species
CCCUUAGAUGUUCUGGGCCACACGCGCGCUACACUGACUGGUGCAACAAGUGUCGCUCCUUGGCCGAUAGGCCUGGGCAAUCUUUGAACGCCAGUCGUGAUGGGGAUAGAUUCUUGCAAUUUUUGAUCUUCAACGAGGAAUUCCUAGUAAACGCGAGUCAUCAACUCGCAUUGAUUACGUCCCUGCCCUUUGUACACACCGCCCGUCGCACCUACCGAUUGAAUGGUCCGGUGAACCCUCCGGAUCGGCUCGCGCCAACGCAAGUUGAGCAAAGGCCGAGAAGUUGGGUAAACCUUACCAUUUAGAGGAAGGUGAAGUCGUAACA